GGUUUUGUUUGUCUUUUGAAUGAGUUAGACCGUGGAGUGCUUUCAACUUGAGGGGCUGGACUCUAAUAGAGAAGGAGAAACAAGUUUCUCAUUCUUGUCCAGAGUAAGCCUUUUGCACAGCUAGAAUACGUGAUUUCACAGCACUUAGUUACCUGCUUUUGUAUCAGCUCAUGUGAUAGUGAAUUAACUCUAAAAGCUGUUUAGAAACAAUUAAUGAUUGCUGAUUUUUUUUAAGCACAGCCAAGUAACAAAGUUGGAAAUGCUUUUAUGAAGAAAGAGAAGGGAGUAGUAUCUGUCUUUUCUCAUGGGGUUUCAGACCUGUUUGUAAAGCAUGACUGGUUUGACUUAGCAUGACUGAUGGUAUAAAAGCCUCUGGUAGGGGAAGGAGAAUGGGCAGGGUGCUCCUAAAACAUACCUUUGUGGAUGUGGAAUUUCUUCUUGAUUAGAAGUGGAGCCAUUUUAGGUGCUCCGUUCUGAAAGAGGCCAGUCACGUUGGACCUUAUUUUUCUGGCUUGCUGACUCAGUUCCUGUGCUCUGAGUGUUGAACUUCAAACAUUCUGUGCAGGAUUAUUCUUUAGUGAGUACCUGGGAGACAGGAGAAGCCUUCAUCCAUCCUCAUGAUGCCUCGUUCAAGGAAAUAGGCCAGUGAGGUAGCUACCUCAGGACACACUGCUGUUGCAGGGAGAGAAGCAGCAAACUCUUCUAGAUGAACCCUGUCUUUCAUAUUUCUCCCCCUUCAAGGCACUCUGAAUGCAGAGUGAAGAAACCUGGGAAGAGGAAUAUCCUUACUUUAUCUGGGCAGUAGUCAGUAAAGUUUUUCCCCUCUACCCAUGUUCCGCCUUGCCCUGGGGAAAGAUGGGGGAGUAUAAGACUACAGUAUGGCAGAGUAAGGGAAUGAAGGUCUGCGGUCUGGAGAGGAGUAAUGCUUCCAGUAUGGGAAGGGUUGGGGGCAGAAGUCUUGUAUAAGGAGGAUGCACAUGAGUGCAAGCUUGCCUAUAUGGGUAAACUGUUGGAAGGAAGGUAGCGUAUUUAAGCUGUAGCUGAUUCUAUUUGCUAAUCCUUAUCCAGAUGUUCUUUUUUCCUUCACAACACAGUUUUUCUUCUUCUGUCACAUUUCUCAUAUUUUAGUGCCUUUCAAAGGUAGUAAGUACAUAACGAUGGAAAAAUGAUUUUUCUUUAAAUCUCAACACUGUUAAUAAGAAAAAAGGGAGAGAGCGGACUUUAUAUCCCAUAUGUUUUUAAGAAUGUUUAUUUUAUUAUGGCAAGGGUAAUGUUUCUUCUGAGUUGCGCUGAAAGGAAGCACUUUUUUACAUCUGAAAUCUGUCCAAUGAAGGUGACUUCUGUUACAACAGGAGAGUAAAAAUAAACACACACGUGUGCAUGCCCACACUGAUGUACAUGAGGGCACUUUUUCUGCUAGCAACCCGUGCUUCAAACAGUAGCGUCUCCAACACUGUGUUAAAUUGAUGAAUUUGUUAAAGGUGAAAGCAGACUGCUGAGAAGCCCAAACAGAUGGAAAAGAACUUUGGCACAGAAGUAGUGAUAACUGUACCGUUUCUUCCCAGUGGAAGCUCUUGAUCCUUACUGGUAGUAAAGAAUGCAUUGUACAGUGGCAUCGUAAGUAACAGAUCACUUCAGCAGAUGCU
ensembl:lncRNA